AUUACUGCUAUUGGAGUUUGACUAAGCCAUGCGAGUCAGAGGUUUUAUUAUACUGGCAGAAGGCUGAGUAUCACGUAGUCAACCUGCCCUUGAGUCAGGCAUAUCCUUGGGAAACUGAGGUUAAUUCCUGAUAUGAAAUAUUUUCUGGAAUGAAAUAUUUUGCAAAGUUACGACGCUCAAGGAUGGGACUGCGGUGGAUUAGGUUGUUGUUGGGGUAAUGGCCCAACAAACCGGUAAUCUAUAGGGGCUGUGAGAGCAGUGGCCCCCAGAUGGAUUCUGAGACACGAAUCCAGACCCUACGGGGUGCAGCAGGCGCGGAACCUUCACAAUGCACUAUGUGUGUGAUGGGGAGACUCCAAGUGAUAGCAUAACGCUAUCUUUUGAAAAGUUAAAAUAUCUUUUCGAAUAAGUGGUGGGUAAGACGGUUGCCAGCCGCCGCGGUAAUAACCGCGCCACAAGUGGUAAUCUCGAUUAUUGGGUCUAAAGCAUCCGUAGCCGGUGCUAUAAGUUUUCUGUGAAAUCCAAAUGAAAACAUUUGGGCGUGCAGAAAAUACUGUAGCACUUGAGACUGGGAGGAGCAAGAGGUACUCGAGGGGAAGGGGUAAAAUCCGUUAAUCCCUCGGGGGUCACCAGUGGCGAAGGCGUCUUGCUAGAACAGGUCUGACGGUGAGGGAUGAAAGCCAGGGGAGCGAAGAGGAUUAGAUACCCUUGUAGUCCUGGCUGUAAACGAUGCUCGUUAGGUAUUGGGGUUUUUACGAGAAACUUCAGUGCCGUAGGGAAGCCGUUAAACGAGCCACCUGGGGAGUACGGUCGCAAGGCUGAAACUUAAAGGAAUUGGCGGGGGAGCACACAAGGGGUGACGUCUACGGUUCAAUUGGAUCAACGCCGGA
rnacentral:rRNA from 1 species